UUUAUUUUAUAUUCACGUGACACUACCGAAGUGUCAUUUUCUAUUGUUAGAACUAGCUGUGUAAUCUCGUUUUAAUAAUUAGGAACAUAAUUCGGAACCGGUUUUAGUAUUGUUUUAAAUUAGGUGUCUACAACCAUGACGUAUUAUGUUAUUUUAGUUACUGUGAAAUAUUUUCUUAUAGCCUGCUGGAUUGAAAAUGUAUUGAUAUAGCCUAGUUGUAUUAUAACGUUGUGGCAUUCAAAAGUAACCUUGAUAUGAAAAAAAGACAAAAGGACGACUGACUUUUUUUAAAACGUCUUUUAAAAGUAUGUGUAAGUAAUUAAAAAACAUUAAGGCCACCGAUUAAAAACAGCAGGAUAAUCCUUUUGGAAAUGUAAACAAACUAGACAACUAUAUGGCUCUUUUUCUCGUGAUAUUCUUCCCUUCCUUUCGGUCAAUGACGUAACAGUGUUCAAUGCUGGGUGUUUUUGGUUUUUGUGUGCGUCACAUCGAAACUAGCAUUGCCAAGCAGCAAAUAUGUUUUUAUCAUACGGGAGAUGGAAAAACAUGCCAUAAAACCUAUUUGUUAAGGGGUGGUAGUAAAACUAUACACGUUAAUGAUCCUAUCCCAUGCCCGGCCAUGUGCCACCGUUGUACAAAGUGCAAUAUUGAUCUCUUAUACAUUGCUGGUAAUACGGUCUUCUGUUAGUGCGGGCUUCUUCGGGCAACACACUGGGUUAUAAGGAGAUGCGCAAGUGGACUUUUGUAAUAACAAAUGUUUAUGUAUGUAUUAGGUUAUCAAUGCAUUCCAUACUUUGUGAUUCUCUCAUUUGUGUGUGUGUGUUUUGCUGUUGCAUACGUGACUGAUGCAAAUUAACAUGACUAACCCGUCACGGGACAUUUCUUGCGGUUCCUGUUUUUAUUUAUUUAUUUAUUUUUUUAAAUAGAGCUGUGUUUUUCCUGGAUGGCUGUCGCUGCCUGCAGUGUAGUGUGAAGUCCAAUCCUGGAAUAUAAAGUUUCUCAUUCGUGUGAAACACGUCCUUGAGGGUUGUAUGUUUUGCCAAGUAAACAUACUUUGUUGUCUAGUAUGGGAACGUCAAAUCUCUCUCUCUCUCUCUCUCUCUCUGCAUAGAAGUUUCACCCAUAACUGGUUUUACUGGGAGUUUAAGACACACCUGAGCUUGUUCGCUAUAGGUGCUAACCAUGCGCAAUGUAUUAUUAUUAUUAUUAUUAUUAUUAUUAUUAAGUGUAUUUAAUCAUUGUUAACAACUUUUACAACCCAGCAUACAAUGUUGUCAUUUGGGUAACAGACAGCGUUACGCUGAAGAAGGCACUUGUCGAAAUGUUUGUCUAUCUGAUUUAAGUGUGACCUUACGGGUCCUGCACACACACACACACACCAAGCUUACCCCUGCCAUUGAAGUAAUACACAGAUACGCACAUUGUUUCGAACGCUGUGUCACUCCACAUUCCGUUGCAGAAAUUCAGCCACGACUUGUAUGGGAGCCAUGGAAAAAAAAAAUAUUUAUUUCUGCCUUGUAUAUUAUUUAGACUAGGGGUCUCAAACCCUGUUCCAGGAGAGCUACUGUGGCUGCUGGUUUUCGUUUCAACCAAUCUCUGUUAAUUAAUUGAACCAAUUAUUGGCUUCAUUAGUCCAGAUUAACAAGUAUUCCAGAUAUUUAGCCACUGGUGAUGUAAAUACACCUAUAAAACCUGCUGGAUAGUGGCUCUCCAGGACCAGGGUUGGGAGACGCCUGAUUUAGACAGUCACCCCUUGCACGUCAGGAUUAAGUGUGAAGUACGGUUCUCACAUUACAAUCCCUUUUGUGAGUGUGCGGUUUUCUGAAAAUCAACGUUGGAGAAGCAAAUCCAAAAUAAAGUGAUCGGUGUUCCACUGCAGAUCUGUACCACACGCAGGAUACCAAUAAAAUGAAGAGAAGCCAAAACAAACACCUGCCAUAACACUGUCAAUAGGGCGUGGGUGGGGUCUGCAAUGAGGGACUUGCAAACAGGUAGAUGCAUCACAGAAUGCACGUCAAGGAUGUCGUUUGCCUAACACUCAUUAGAGCCAUGGAAAUAAGAUUCGUGUUGGAGUAGUGAUUUCACCCAUUCUAGGUUUUACUACGAGCUUGAUCAGUGUGUGUGGGUAACAAGCUCAGGUAUCUUAUUAAACCCCUAGUAAAACCAGGAAAGGACCAAACUGCUAUGUAAUGGGAGUCUUAUUGCCAUCCCUGCAUAUUUUCCCCAGUUUACGCAAAAGUCUGUGCUAUUUAGUUUAAGUAAAUCAUUUGUAAAUUGCUAGUAUCACAACUCCAAUCAUAAUUACAUAUGUAUCAACUUCACCAAUAUACAUUUUAAUGGGAUCGUGUCUGUAUAACUUUUUUUGAUCAUAUAUAAAAGCAGCUGGUUUGGUAUUGCUUGAACAGCAAAGGCAAUGCUAUUUUUGAUCACAACACGCAGUUGAUUGAAUUAACCGGCGAUUCUAGCAAGCAGUUUUCACUGUAUGGUUGGUUUUAAUCCACAGAAAAACCCUUAAGAGCCCAGGUGGUUGCUACAUUGGAAAAGGUUGCUUUUAAACUGGUUUCUGACUUCUGCUUUGGGUCUAGUUUGCAUUAUGCUACUGUAUAGUCUCUAGAGAAAUGAUUCAAUUCAGAACAAUACGUCUGGGUGUAUAUGUUGAGAACGACAAACGCUGCCCAGCUAUGCAUUUGUGGCACUCGUUAGGGUAAGGUCCUCCUCUGUGAGCAAAAGCAAGUGUUUGGUUCCCUUAUAAAAGUUUACCCCAGUAUAGUUAGCAGUUUUCAUUGUUAUACUGUGCCUUUACCAUACUUUACAAUGUUUAUUCUAGGCUUUAUUACACUUUACCAUGGUAAACCUUCUAAAGGGUUAGUCUGAUAACAUGGUUUGUUUUUUUAAUGUGGGGAGACGUUGAUAAGGGUUCUAUAGCUAUUUAAAAAAGAAAGUUGUAUUACAAAUGCAUUAUUUUGCACACAUAUAAUAAUUCACAGUAGAUUUUAAAUACCUUGUAGGAAUACAAAUUUAAUUCACUUUACAUGCAAAUGCAAACAAAUAGUAAAAUAGAAUCUUUGAAUCUGCCCGGGUUUAAAUAGUCAAAUUAAAACAAAUUCUGCACUUUGAAAUAUUAUUGUUAUUUCACCUUUGGAAGUACCACAGGGGUAUAUUUGCAAAAUUUGUCUACUGCCACGUUCAAAUUCUGUACUAUAGUUAACUUUUACCAUAUAGGUAAUUGAAUAUUGCUAAACACACUCUGUACUAUGCAAUCCACUACAGCAAAGCUUAUGUGUUGCUUUAUUGUCCUCACAAUAGGUGUAUUGUUGAAAGCUAAACCACUGCCCGUAAGCCGACAACUUUCUGAACACUUCCUGGAGUACCUAAAACCACAACAGAUGAAAAAAAAAAAAAAGAUCAUGCAAAACAACCUGCAAAUAAUUCUCCCCCAUUCAUGACCUCGAGCACGUAGAUCCAUUUCAAAAGGAAGGCAAAUGAAAUGUUCCUGUCCAGUAGCUUUUUAUAUACAAAGACCCAGGUUACAUGCACUGAAAUGACAAAGGACACUCGAUACUGCCCGUGUAGCACUUUAGUCCCCCCUGCUUAAAGAGAAGAGAGUCACUGUGCUGUGGGCAGUCAGUCUGUUGCAGUGUUCAGAAACCUAAAGCUCUGGAGCAGGGAGCAGUAUACAGUAUGUUAAAUAAAAAGACAAAAGGCAUGUGUUUAGUUGAAUGCUACCCGGGCAAAAUCUAUCUUUACAGCCUUGUACAUUUAAACCAGAUGUACAUUCCUCUUUCCUCAGUUCAGUGUUGCAUUACAGUAAUGCUGUUUGCAUGUCGUCAUUCUACUCUUUCAGUGUACUGGAGCUUGUUGAAAAUGCAGCAGCAAUGGUUUUAAACUUGUUCUGAACCGUGCUUUAUUGCACGUUGCUAUGCUUUUUACUUUGGGAAACUUUUAUAAAAAGGGUUCUUGCAGAAUUUUUUUUCCUAUUGCUUUACAAAUGCACGGUUUUGCAUGAGUAAAUCAAUUCAAAAGGAAGUUUGCGAUUUUAAAAAUUAAUUUAGAAUCUUGAAUGUGCCCGUGGAAAAUAAAUAUUUGUGCCUGAUCUUUGAGCCCUCAGCUCUAUUUACACAGUGAGAUAAGCAGCAGGAGACAGGUUGUUAAAACUAUGCAGCAAGUGCAAAAAAAAGAGAGAGUCAGGGUAGACUGGAGGAAGGGAGGCGGUGAAGUGGCAGGUUACAGGUCAGUUCAGCUCUUGCAAACAAGCCGGAACAAUAACCCCACCGAGGAUCUGAGAAUGGAGGCGGAGAGCGUGGAAGUGCCCAGAGCUGGGUUAACCCAGGCAGGCUGUCCUCUCUCGCCACCUCUUCCCCUUCUCUCCCCUUCUCCCGCACACCCUGCUUCCCUGCCCGAGAUCCACAGCAAUAUCCCUGCGAAACAGAUUGAGGAAGGAGACUCUUGUUGCUGCACUGUCAGCAUCUCUUCUGUGGAGAAACGUAUUCAGCAGGAGCAAAAGUGGCAGCUUUGGCACGAGUUCAUACACGCCUACUCCCGGUUCAACGACUGGCUGCGAUUGGCCGAGAGCAUGGCUUCUUCACCAAACUCCGCCCACGUGCUUUACAUCACUGCGAAGAAGGAGCUGAAGCAGUUUGAGGUGUUGCAGAGGGAGAUCCAGGCUCGUUUGUUGGAGCUGGAGUCCCUGAUCCUGCAGUACUGCCGGCUGGCGAAAGGGACGGGGCUGGGGGAGAGUGGCCGGCUCCACGGGAUAAUACAGGACGUCAGCCUGCGCUGGGACGACCUCAACAAACGUACCGCCAGCAUCUGCCGCAGGCUCCAGCACUUUGUGAGGCAGCGCGAGGAGUUGGACAGCGAGCAGGAGAACAUUGCAGUCGGGCUCGCAGAGAUGGACCUGAGGCUGACUGAAGUGGAGCAUUCCUCAGGGUGCAACGUGGCCGACAAGAUGGAACAGCUGCAGGCAUUCCAUCAGGCUGUGUAUGAGAACACGGAGCGGAUGAACAGGCUCCUAGUUGAAGGGGAGCGGUCGAUCCAGCGCAGCGAGCCGCAAGACGCAGUUGAGAUCGAGGACUCCCUGCAGGAGCUGUUGCUGUACUGCACACAGGUCUUUGAGGGGGUGGGGCAUCUAUACACACGCCUGCUGAGCCUGAGACUGGUGUUUGAGGAUGGCUGGAUGUCGGGGUCAAACUGCCUCUCGGUCCUCUGGGAGGACGAGGGGAUCUACGACCGGAGCAGCCCCUGUGACCGCACUGGUUCCAGACGGGACUCUCUGCCCCUGGAGUGGGACCCCUCCGUCGAUGUGGGGGAAUCCACCUCACACGACGAUACGGACUCCUCCUACUUCAGCACCAUCACAGGUUUGCACCAUUUCGAAGUCUUAUCGGAAGAGCCUUCCACCAAGAGAAGCAGCUCUCUGAGCUCCCUGCGUUUUCAUAUGGAGACUGACCCUGCAGAGAAUAGCAGCGUGGAGUGGAGAGACACCAGACAGCCCGUCUUGACUGUGGUUCCAGGCGCUCUGGUUUUAGGUGUGUCGAGUGAAGUGUGCAGUUCCUCCAGAUCCUUCGUGUCUGCUGGACACUGCCCUGCAACUGAACCAUUCACCUUUGACCCAGAACGCAUCUGCGCCUGGCUGGGCCAGACAGAACCUGUUCUAGAACACACCCGGAACUUUUCAGAGGAGACGGACGGCAGGGCAGACCAUGGAAAACAAGAGGCUCUUUGGGAUCAGUGUCUCCCUCCUCGAGACACAGGGGUGUGUUCUGUAGAAGCCCGGUCUUUGCUGCUGAACCCUGGUGCCUUCAGUUCCGUUCCUGUGUGGAGUAGAAGAAAGCCCAAAAAUCAGUUUCGAAAAAAGAAACAAAGUUUUCCUCACCAAUCGCAAGCCAGGACCGAGCACAAAUCUGAAGAGAUCGACCCCGCGAGGUCCAGACGUCUCCUGUGGGUUCUGAAGACAUCCCUGUCCUACCGCCUGGUCAGAGUCGCGCUUUUAGUCUCCAUCCUGCUGGGUGUUCUGGGGGUCAUCAGCCAGAUCCUGGUCAGUUGGAAGUACUUCAGCAGUCAUCACACCAACAACUUUGCCCGCUCUCUCCCCGUAAUGCUCCACUACGUCAACGGACCACCCCCGACAUGAAACCAGAGAGGAAGGAGGAUCCCAGGGGGUUCACCCUCAGGGAACAUCUACGGUUCCGAUAGCUUGAGAGUUUAUGGCUUUACAUAAAACUCUGGAAAACCCUUUCAAGCAAAUUGUCACAAAUCCACUCCUGGAAUAUCUUUCCUUUUAAAUAUGAUUUGACAAUAUAUACACAACUGCCCAGCAGAACUCCAUCCCCCAUCCUCGCACGGACAGUGACAGUUACUUGAUGAGAAUCCAAUGCGAAGGUCACAGGAGACAGGCGUGUUUUAAAAUCCUGGACUGCAGGGGAAAAAUACACAUGUCAGUACAGAGCUGUGAAUAUAUUCUAUUAUAUUGCCAGGGAAAUAUUGGUAGGUUCAAUUAGUUCAUAAAAUAAUUACUCAAAAGUGAUCCACACAGGUGAUCUGUGACUUGUGUUGGGCUGUGCACUGAAGAUGUAACCGGCAGUAAGCAGUCCCAGUUUGAUACUGGGAACUUUUCUUUGACUGGUUUCAUGGUGCAGAUGGAAAAAUCACUCAUGCUACCACAGAACCAUUGUGUUCAAUAUUGUCAUCCUUUUUAAACACCAUCUUCUGUAUCGCUUUUGCUUCUAGAACCCGUGUGUUUAAGUUUCCCCUGCAGGUUUUAGCAAAGGGGACACAGGUCAUCCGUCAUGCUACCCCAUGCCCACCAACAACUUAGAGUCCCCCAUGGUCUCCCAAACCUGCCCUGGGCGCCAGGGAGCCCCCUUUCUCUUAGCGGAGUGACCACACCACCUUCCAACCAUCAAUUCAAAAGCCUGCCCUGGAGGGAGCCCCCUUUCUCUUAGUAGAGUGACCACACUACCUUCAAACCAUCAAUUCAAAAGCCUGUCCUGGGCUGGAGGGAGCCCCCUUUCUCUUAGCGGAGUGACCACACCACCUUCCAACCAUCAAUUCAAAAGACUAUCUUCAGUCCAAUUCUGAUCAAGCAACCACUAAAAAAACAACUUUCUGUGCCACAGCAGGUGCUGUGGAACAUUGUCCAUCGGAAUAUGAAUAUCACUGCACGAUGAAUCGGGGGAUCUGACUUUCUACAAACAUGCUGGUUCGGAGCCCUGUCUGUGCAAUCCAAUUUGCACCCCAGCCAUUUACAAUUACAGACCGAUCUUAAUCAACCACUAUUAAAAUCAGGGGCAUUUUUUGUACCUUGCCCUUUUAAGAAUGCCAAUAUAGACAACAAGCCCCUUUUAAGAACGUUAAUUAGCCCCUGUAUAAAAGGGUAAGGUUGGGGAAACGAUUUCUUCCCGGGACAGCAUGUGUUUUUGAAACAUUCGCUGCGUUUGCUAUUGGUAAGUGGCACGUGCGCGUUACUCUGUUUAAAUGCGUGUGGUUUUACAAAGUGCAAUUUGAUUAUUACUCGUUGUCUGGUUGUUCUACUUCAGCUUUAUAAUAACGCGUUUGUUUUAAAAGGUGCGAUUACUCGCCGCUCGCUUUAUUAUUGUUUUUAUUUAAUUUUUUUUAAUCGUCUCUUCCACAAAAAGAGGACGCUGUUAUAGCCGGUAGAGUUUGUGUACGUUACUUUAGAGUAAGCUAAUGGCAUAUUAACUUUUUUAUGUGCAUGGUGUUAAGUGCUAAACCACGCUACUUGCCGUCCACGUUAUAAUUUCUUUCUUCCCGAUAGAAAUAUCCAGUCGAUGGUUUGGGGCGUCGUAUUGUUUUUACGUAACGCUAACAUGAUUUUAAAUUAAACGUAGUUGGUCUUUUAAGGACUUGCAAUAUUUUAACGGGUUUGCGACGGUGAGCAAACAGUUUUUCACCUUAUUCUUUUUCAAAACCUAUUUUUAAAAUGUUUCACAAAAUGUUCGGCUUUAUAUCGCCAUUGCAAUUUUAUGUUUGUGUAGUUUAUACUUUUUUAUAUAUAAACACUCACGUUUGUUUUGAGAUUAAUUUAAUUAACAGGUAUUUAAUUAAUUUGAUAAUUGGCUUGCAUCCAAUACGAUCUAAUCUCAA